AACGGGUGACUGCGUACCUUUUGUAUAAUGGGUCAGCGACUUACAUUCAGUAGCGAGCUUAACCAGAUAGGGGAGGCGUAGCGAAAGCGAGUCCGAACAGGGCGUUGAGUUGCUGGGUGUAGACCCGAAACCGGAUGAUCUAUCCAUGACCAGGAUGAAGGUGCGGUAACACGCACUGGAGGUCCGAACCCACGUCUGUUGCAAAAGACGGGGAUGAGCUGUGGAUAGGGGUGAAAGGCUAAACAAAUCCGGAAAUAGCUGGUUCUCUCCGAAAACUAUUUAGGUAGUGCCUCGAGA
rnacentral:rRNA from 1 species